GUGGGAUACUGUGGGAUCGUUGCCGUCGGAGCAGAUCCCCUUCGGUGAAAUAACGGCUGUGCUAAAGGAGGAGGGGAGCCGCCCGAUGACGCUGCGCUUCGAGCGGUACCCCCAGGUGAGAGGCGGUCACUGCUCACCGGGCCCGUGUCUGCACCCGCACGCCCACGGGUGGAAGCAAAAGGUUUGGGCCGCGGGUGAAAGCAAGCUAAGCAA
rnacentral:rRNA from 1 species